UUGAAUAAAACUUGGUUGGGUUGUUGCUGGCUCUCAGGAGCAUGUGCACGCUCACUCCAUUUUUUCACCACCUGUGCACACACUGUAGGCUUGAAUGAACUUUUCGAGGAAACUCGGUUUGAGAACUGCCAGACGCUGUUCUUGCAAUUCAGGUCUAUGUUUUAAACAUAUAUACUCCAUAACAAGUUACAGAAUGUUAAUCAUGGGCCUUCUGUGCCUAUAAAAACUUAAUACAACUUUCAACAACGGAUCUCUUGGCUCUCGCAUCGAUGAAGAACGCAGCGAAAUGCGAUAAGUAAUGUGAAUUGCAGAAUUCAGUGAAUCAUCGAAUCUUUGAACGCACCUUGCGCUCCUUGGUAUUCCGAGGAGCAUGCCUGUUUGAGUGUCAUGAAAUUCUCAACCUUUCUGGCUUUUAUUAGCUGGCCAGGCUUGGAUCGUGGGAGUUUGCUGGCUUCUUAGAAAUCAGCUCUCCUUAAACGCAUUAGCAAAAUUCUUGGCUGAACAUCUUUGGUAUGAUAAUUAUCUAUACUAUUGAGACACAGCCUGUUCCACUUUGUUCGGAUUUAGGCUCCUCUUGGAUAACAUCCAAGUGUUCGAUUCAACCGCUCUGAAGCAUCAGCUUAGGCACAGAUGUUAACUCGUCUGAUGGUGUUACAUACUUCAGGUUGACGAAGCGAGGCGUUCUUCGGAGCGCUCACGAGAGCAAGCACUGUAUCAAUCUGUUCUAGGAUUGUUUGUGCACUGUCAUAUUCCUGUACCUACCCUAGCUACUAUGUGGCUUUGAAGGGUCUGGUCAAACCAUGACCUGAACAUAUCCUUAGUGGGAGGAUCUUGCUUCUAACAUUGUUCCUAGGAACAAACAUUUUGACAAU
rnacentral:misc_RNA from 2 species